rnacentral:pre_miRNA from 1 species
GAAGAGGCCCGCGUCACCUGGACAGGUGACGCGGGCCUCUUC